AUUCAUCCAAGAAGUAAAAAUCCAAUUUUAAAACAACAGACAGAAAUGCUUCAAAAGCUGCUUUGGUUUUUCCUGUGGAUGGCAUGAUCCGGUUCCUCUGGAGAGGUGGUCAGACUGUGAAACCUGACUUCCACUAGCCAGCUUUAUCUGCACUGCCUAUGUUUAAGCACUAUCACCUGCAGAGAGAGGCUGGAAACCCUAAAUAAUGCACCAAGAUAUCUGUGGGGAGCCACACACUGUACGAAGGGCAAGAAAGUCUCAUUUCUCAAAAACCAGUUUCCCCUAAAUACUCACACAUCAGCUUCUAUAAUCAAAGAUGAAUGCCUAAAGAUUUGUACAGAGAUAGAAUGUAGCUCUCAUUUUGGAUGCCUCAAGUAUGCAAAGGAAAAAGUUUCAAGAGUGGAAUCUGAUGAGUCUGUGUCUUUAAUCCUUGUGAGACCAUGUCAGAAGGCCUGUGCCCAAUUUCUAUUUGUAUUGUAUCUCUCCAGGGAAGAGUCUACAACAAGUUUCCUUCCUGAGGGCUGAACUGAGAAUCUGGUGAAUGCAGAAAAUGGAGACUGUGUCUUUUUUUAUCUAUGAUGUUGAUGGCCCACCUCCAAAUUCUGUUGCAUUGGGAGUUAGGAUUCAAAGAGGAAUUUUGGAGCUACUCAAACAGUCAUCCCACAGCAAUGCUUAAUAAGUGCUCUCAUCAGCUGUCCUAAACCUCUUUUAAGGCAUUAAUAAACAUCCAUUCCAGAAAACAGCCCAAAUCUUGCAGAGAAAAGAAGAAAAAAAUCAUAUGUAAAAUUUUAGAGUGUGUGCAGAAACAUGUAAAGUAAACCUCACUUGGAGAAUUUCCAUGUGCAAGAGAUAGUUACCAAUCAAACAAUUAAUAGGAAUCUCAAGAGUUUGCAAAUAAAAGAAUAGUUGAUUCAAUUAUUAGAAUCAAAGGACUCCUGAUGAUAAAUGCAAAUAAUUGAUUUUAUCUACCUGGAUCAGAAAAAAAUGAAGUACACUCAGGGCAGGGCACCAGAAGGACUGAAGAGUCACUUCACGUUCCAAGACAGAAGCUUAGACCCAGGCAGGUGGUCACUUUGUGGGGGGAGGAACAAAGAAGACUUCGGACUGGUGGUUUCUGAAGACACAGAGAAAUGGCUGGAGAGUGGAAGUCUCAGGGGAGAUUCUGCCAACCCCACUGUACUUUCAGACUCUAAAACAGUUCUCCCUUUAUGCUGGAGCUAAUGAAUGUGGUCUAGGAAGCAUGGCCUCUAUCUGUUUAUUGUGAGUGUGGCAUAUAUGAAACCAAAGGCUAAAUGAAAAUAACAUUGUACACAUACAGUAUGCCAGACAUCUUAUGAGGAGGUUAGUAUUUUCACAAUAAAUUAUUUUAUAUGACUGGUAUUGUCA
ensembl:lncRNA